ensembl:lncRNA
AGUGACUUUCCCAGUAAGUAACUCAUCUGGGACCAGAAAGAUCUAGAAUCUCAGGGGUGCUGCCCAGGGCGCACCCCAAUCCUCUAAAGAACCUCCCUACGGGCUCUGCUGAUGCGCAGCAACAUGGGCCCUCCUGUGUGGGGAGGGGAGCAGGUGGUUCAUUGGGAAGACUGAGGAGAUGGCCAGUCGGGUGUCAGAAACGUGCCCUUCUGUGGGGGACACAGACGAAUGCAACAUGGUCCUUGCCCCUCACCACACCCCCUGUCUCCCCUGGUCUCCUGUCUCCAUCUCUCCUCACCAGGUUCUUCCUCUGUAACAUGGGAGUCCUCCUUGUGGCAGGCAGAAUUGAGGUCCCAUCCCCUGAGUGUGUGGGAAGCUGCAGGUGUGAAGGUUGAAAGGCACUUGGGGAGCAGCAUGGGAGAGAAGUGGGCUGAAGAGGACGAAGAGGAAGGAGAGACAAGGCAGCCGCCAGGAGGAGAGGCCCUGGGAAAAGGGUGUCGAUGUUUAUGGGGGUAUCAGGAUGGACCAGGUGACGCUGAGGAAUCUUGUGGAAGUGGAAUCCAACGGUAUUUGUCUGCAACUAACGUCUAU